AAGGGACCUUCCUAAAUGAAACCCUUCUUGUCCUCCCCAAAUCAUACUGAUGGGCAAUUGAGAAGAUGGUGACGAUUGGUGACAUUUUACAAAUGGGAAAGUUUAGAGCCUGAUGAAGAACAACAUUAGUGGAAGAGAUGCCUGGAACUUGCGGCGUGGUUAUAAAGCAUCAACAGUGAAGCCUUAAAUCAGGCGACAACGAAAGCUGUGUAUUUCCAGGAGCACACUUGCUAGCUUCUCUCCGCAUCAGUGUCACUUCAUUAAAUCACUGCAAAGAACUUCAAAGUAUCAUGGGUUCCCAAUACUUGGACCAGUUUCUCCUGCUUUCCCAGGCCAUGACAAGGGAGCUGGAUCGGAAGUGGAGGAUCAGGGAGGUGAGACCAUCCAGGCC